rnacentral:tRNA from 1 species
GGGCCCUUAGCUCAUUUUGGUAGAGCACCUGCUUUGCACGCAGGGGGUGAGGGGUUCGAAUCCCCUAGGGUCCA